rnacentral:rRNA from 1 species
AGUUUGAUCCUGGCUCAGGAUGAACGCUAGCUACAGGCUUAACACAUGCAAGUCGAGGGGAAACGAUAGAGAAAGCUUGCUUUUUCUAGGCGUCGACCGGCGCACGGGUGAGUAACGCGUAUCCAACCUGCCCACCACUUGGGGAUAACCUUGCGAAAGUAAGACUAAUACCCAAUGAUAUCUCUAGAAGGCAUCAGAAAGAGAUUAAAGAUUUAUCGGUGAUGGAUGGGGAUGCGUCUGAUUAGCUUGUUGGCGGGGUAACGGCCCACCAAGGCGACGAUCAGUAGGGGUUCUGAGAGGAAGGUCCCCCACAUUGGAACUGAGACACGGUCCAAACUCCUACGGGAGGCAGCAGUGAGGAAUAUUGGUCAAUGGACGAGAGUCUGAACCAGCCAAGUAGCGUGCAGGAUGACGGCCCUAUGGGUUGUAAACUGCUUUUAUAAGGGAAUAAAGUGAGUCUCGUGAGACUUUUUGCAUGUACCUUAUGAAUAAGGACCGGCUAAUUCCGUGCCAGCAGCCGCGGUAAUACGGAAGGUCCGGGCGUUAUCCGGAUUUAUUGGGUUUAAAGGGAGCGUAGGCCGGAGAUUAAGCGUGUUGUGAAAUGUAGAUGCUCAACAUCUGCACUGCAGCGCGAACUGGUUUCCUUGAGUACGCACAAAGUGGGCGGAAUUCGUGGUGUAGCGGUGAAAUGCUUAGAUAUCACGAAGAACUCCGAUUGCGAAGGCAGCUCACUGGAGCGCAACUGACGCUGAAGCUCGAAAGUGCGGGUAUCGAACAGGAUUAGAUACCCUGGUAGUCCGCACGGUAAACGAUGGAUGCCCGCUGUUGGUCUGAAUAGGUCAGCGGCC